rnacentral:tRNA from 3 species
GUCGGUGUCGUAUAAUGGUUAUUACAAGGCCUUGCCAAGGCUUAGACGGCAGUUCGAUCCUGCUCACCGGCUCCA